CUCGCGCAUGGGAAACUGCAUUUCGGCCACAACGCCGCUUAAAUGGUCUACAAACCGUGCUUGUGUCGAGUCUUGUGCCAUUUUGUGUCUUACGCGUCUCAAUAUGCACCUUGUCUAACCGUCUCGCGUUGAUAAUGCCACAUUUAUUAGCCGUGAACAGGUUUUGUAGUACAUGGGGUGAGUGUUUUCAGUCUUCUGGAUUUCUCUAGGCUUCGUUGAGCUUCAUGUUUAUAAGG